rnacentral:rRNA from 1 species
UGACAUAAGUAACGAUAAAGCGGGUGAAAAGCCCGCUCGCCGGAAGACCAAGGGUUCCUGUCCAACGUUAAUCGGGGCAGGGUGAGUCGACCCCUAAGGCGAGGCCGAAAGGCGUAGUCGAUGGGAAACAGGUUAAUAUUCCUGUACUUGGUGUUACUGCGAAGGGGGGACGGAGAAGGCUAUGUUGGCCGGGCGACGGUUGUCCCGGUUUAAGCGUGUAGGCUGGUUUUCCAGGCAAAUCCGGAAAACCAAGGCUGAGGCGUGAUGACGAGGCACUACGGUGCUGAAGCGACAAAUGCCCUGCUUCCAGGAAAAGCCUCUAAGCAUCAGGUAACAUCAAAUCGUACCCCAAACCGACACAGGUGGUCAGGUAGAGAAUACCAAGGCGCUUGAGAGAACUCGGGUGAAGGAACUAGGCAAAAUGGUGCCGUAACUUCGGGAGAAGGCACGCUGAUAUGUAGGUGAAGCGACUUGCUCGUGGAGCUGAAAUCAGUCGAAGAUACCAGCUGGCUGCAACUGUUUAUUAAAAACACAGCACUGUGCAAACACGAAAGUGGACGUAUACGGUGUGACGCCUGCCCGGUGCCGGAAGGUUAAUUGAUGGGGUUAGCGGUAACGCGAAGCUCUUGAUCGAAGCCCCGGUAAACGGCGGCCGUAACUAUAACGGUCCUAAGGUAGCGAAAUUCCUUGUCGGGUAAGUUCCGACCUGCACGAAUGGCGUAAUGAUGGCCAGGCUGUCUCCACCCGAGACUCAGUGAAAUUGAACUCGCUGUGAAGAUGCAGUGUACCCGCGGCAAGACGGAAAGACCCCGUGAACCUUUACUAUAGCUUGACACUGAACAUUGAGCCUUGAUGUGUAGGAUAGGUGGGAGGCUUUGAAGUGUGGACGCCAGUCUGCAUGGAGCCGACCUUGAAAUACCACCCUUUAAUGUUUGAUGUUCUAACGUUGGCCCGUAAUCCGGGUUGCGGACAGUGUCUGGUGGGUAGUUUGACUGGGGCGGUCUCCUCCUAAAGAGUAACGGAGGAGCACGAAGGUUGGCUAAUCCUGGUCGGACAUCAGGAGGUUAGUGCAAUGGCAUAAGCCAGCUUGACUGCGAGCGUGACGGCGCGAGCAGGUGCGAAAGCAGGUCAUAGUGAUCCGGUGGUUCUGAAUGGAAGGGCCAUCGCUCAACGGAUAAAAGGUACUCCGGGGAUAACAGGCUGAUACCGCCCAAGAGUUCAUAUCGACGGCGGUGUUUGGCACCUCGAUGUCGGCUCAUCACAUCCUGGGGCUGAAGUAGGUCCCAAGGGUAUGGCUGUUCGCCAUUUAAAGUGGUACGCGAGCUGGGUUUAGAACGUCGUGAGACAGUUCGGUCCCUAUCUGCCGUGGGCGCUGGAGAACUGAGGGGGGCUGCUCCUAGUACGAGAGGACCGGAGUGGACGCAUCACUGGUGUUCGGGUUGUCAUGCCAAUGGCACUGCCCGGUAGCUAAAUGCGGAAGAGAUAAGUGCUGAAAGCAUCUAAGCACGAAACUUGCCCCG